GAGUUUUGUCCCCUCUGACUUCCCGUACCGUCUCCUGCAGGUUCUCGCUCAGUCAGGCUCAAAAUCUUCAGCGCGCAGAUUCAGGGAAAGUUUGAACACGAUGACAAGAAACCACCACAAUGAACAAACUGCCUGUUCCUCCUCUGCUGACAGCAGCCUACACGGCGGAGACAAGUGAACAGCAGGAGACCGUCUCAGAAAACCGAGCUAAGACAAAAGAACCGGACGGAACCCGGACUAGGAUAAACAUCGGAGGGGCUUUUCGGAGGUGGAGGAAGCUACGGGACCUGAAAGGAUUCAAAACCGAUGCCGAGAUAGCGACAUUCCUGCUGGACAGAUACCAGGCAAGUUCUUUGGCUGCAGCACUGACACCAGACAAACCUAAGAGAGAUGAUGAGCGUACGGGUUUAAGUGAAAUGCACGGCAUUGCUGUCGAGGUUUUGGAUAGAAGUCCGUCAUUGCUGGACGUGCAUGAUGACACCGGUAAAGAUGACGUCAAUCAUAUUCAACACCCAGAAAUUGAGUGGGCAGAGGACGAGACAUGGGCUCCAGUAGAGGAAUUAGAAGAUAUUUCAACCUCAGAGGAAGAGGAAACAACAGAGGAGGAUGGUUACAAUGAUGACAGCGAUGAUGAAGAUUACAUCCCCCCUUCAUGUGUUCGAGCUGGUGGUGCUGUUAAAACUAAAAUAGAUGUUAUUCAGUCCAUCGGCAAGAAUGAAACUGUGUGUGACGCUGUAGAUGCAGAGCUGAAAGAGCAAAUACCAGAGACAAGGAAUACUCCAGAAGUCCAGAAAAGCAUGCCUCACAAUCAGCUUGGGAACCAGGAAGAUAAUCCAUCUGAGAACCACCACCAGCGCCUGAACAGGAGACACCAUGAAGAACACAGCCCUGAAACACAACACAACACUUUACUGUCUGAGGAGCCAAAACACUCUCAGGGGUUUCACAGGCCACACAAGACCUACAAAUGUCCGACAUGUGGAAAAGUGUUCCCUCGUAACCAAGCCCUGAAACGACACCUCGUGAUUCACUCAGGAAAAAGACCUUUCAAAUGCUUUAUAUGUGGAAGAGGAUUCACCCAGAGUGGAAAUCUUAAAACACACAUGAAAGUUCACAGAGGAGAGCUAACAAACUGGACAUUAGUUAAAGAGAAAAGUCCAGCUAAAGAAUCUCCUGUAACAGUUCAUUUGUGUGGAGAGUGUGGAAUGGACUUCCCUGAGAAGCAUCUGCUAGAGGAACACCGGGGGAGUCACAAGAAACCUUACGCAUGUCCUGACUGUGACAAGUCAUUCAAAAACGAAUCUUAUUUUAAAAUUCAUCAACGUGUCCACUCAGGAGAAACCCCUUACAUCUGUUCAGAGUGUGGAAAAAGUUGUGUUACAGCAGUUUUGCUCAAAAAACACGAACUAACGCACACCGGAGAAAAGAACUUCCACUGUGGUCGGUGCUGGAGAGCGUUUUCUCAAUCCUCUCACCUGAAAAUGCACCUCAAGACCCACACAGGAGAGCGUCCUCAUCUGUGCUCAAUCUGUGGUAAAAGUUAUUCUAGAGCACACACGCUGAAAGUUCACCUGCGAGUUCACACUGGAGAGAAACCGUACUCUUGUGAGAAAUGUGGGAAGUGUUUUUUUUACUCUCAGAAUUAUCAUGUGCAUUUGAAGACUCAUUUGAAGCUCAAGCCUCCACUAAAGUCUACAGGGAGACCAAAACAGCAGCAGAUAGUGGUAAAUUAUCAGUAAUGUCAUCUAGAAGUUUUAAAGCAGUCUGAAAAGAUGUAAAGUAAAUUUAUUUUGUUUUAUGCAUUGAUUAUGUGAAAUAAAAUAACUCUUAAAUGACUCAAGAGAUGGAACAAGCAAUAGGAUGUUCAUCACAUGUGAUAUGUUGUGUACAGUCAGCUCCACUGUUAUGUAUUUUAGGCUAGAGUAUUUGAAUGAAUAAAUCAUAAUAAUUGUGUGUUUUGUAUCGAUGCUUCACGUAAACUUUACCUUUGACCAGCAUUAAUUUACAGAUUACAGUAUAAAUGAGUGUCUUACAGAGGGACAGUUAUAAGUGCAUUCUCGGCAAAACAGCAAAGCAUCAACAAAACCCUGCUGUAACCUAGUUGCUGCUUCUAAUUAUGUGAUAUAGAGCCUUCAAUUUUUGUAUAUUAUUACAUAACACUGUACGAUUACAGCUGCAGAUACAAGGAAGAAAAUAUUAGUAAUUAAGUGUUGGAUUGUCAUGACAAUGUCAGUGUUACUUAAGUGUGUUAAAAAAAAAAACCUGAAGGAUAACGAUUGCAUGAAGUUUAAAUGUCUUAAACCCACACACACAUACGCUGAUCCCUCUAAAACCGACAAAUUAUUAUGUGCUUAAUAAGGAAAGACACAUAAUGUGAGUAAUAAUGUUUAUUUAAAAGUUCUGACUUUUAAUGGAGGCUUCAGCAUUUAAAAUGUAUUCAUCAGUUACCAAAAAUUUAAUUUCUGAACUUGACAUUUGGCACUAAAAGAUUUUGUUCCAAGAAAAAAUAUUGUUCUCUUUGUUUCAUACGGAACAAAACUAUCUGAAAUGCCACAUUGCCUGCAAAAUUAGCCAUGUUAAUUGCUUUAAAUGCAACUGUUGGCCAGAGGUUUGUUAGGACCAAAAAUCCAUCAUCUGUGAUAUUAGAUGUGAAAUUAUAUGAAGAGCUGAUAAAUAUGUUGUAAAUUAAACUAGCAAACGCUUCAAAUUUAGUAGCUAGGAAAACCACAGGGAUAGGAUCAUUAUCAUUUGAAGGUUGCGUUUGUUUUUUAAUAAACGCUUUUGAAAAUUAUCAUUUUAUCCCCUUUGACUUCCCGUACCAUCUCCUGCAGGUUCUCGCUCAGUCAGGCUCAAAAUCUUCAGCGCGCAGCUUCAGGGAAAGUUUGUAAACACGAUGACAAGAAACCACCACAAUGAACAAACUGUCUGUGCCUUCUCUGCUGACAGCAGCCUACACGGCAAAGAGACGUAAACAUAAGGGCAUCUGUGAAAAGCCAGCUAUAAAGAAGGAGUCUGACCGAGCCAGAACCAGAAUAAACAUCGGAGGGGCUUUUCCGAGGUGGAGGAAGCUACGGGACCUGAAAGGAUUCAAAACCGAUGCGGACUUCGCCUCAUUCCUGCUGGACAGAUAUCAGUCAGACUUCUUGGCUACAAUACUGACACCAACCAAACACAGUGGAGAUGAUGAGGGAAUGGGUUUCAGUGAGGUGAAUGAAAUUGCAGUUGAAGUUUUAGAUACAAGUCCGUCAUCACCAGACAUGCGUGAUGACAUCAGUGAAGAUGACUUCAGUCACAUCCAAAACUCUGUUAUUGACUGGACAGAGGACAAGACAUGGGCUCCAGUUGAGGAUUUAGGAGAUAUUUCAACUUCAGAGGAUGGGCAAACAACAGAGGAGGAUGGUUACAAUGAUGACAGUGAUGAUGAAGACUACAUUCCUCCUUCAUGUGUUCGAACUGGAACUGGUACCAUUACUGGUGCUAUUAAACCCAAAAUAUGCCCGGGUGCUCUUCAGUCCGUCAGUAAAGAUGAAACUGUGCAUGAUGCUGUGGACAAAGAGUGGAAAGAGCAACAGCCAGUGACAGAAAAGAUUGAAGUCCAGACAGAGGAUAAAAGCACAGAUGAACUUGCGACUAUCACUGACCAUGACUGUUUGAAACAUCCGAGAAAGAGGGGUGCCGAGGCAAAUUACCAUGAAGAACACAGACCUGAACCACAGGAGCAGGAUCCCAACACAGUACCUACAGAUGAGUUAGAAUCAAAUGGUGAAACACUGAGAAGUCCAGAAGUUGCCAGCAUACCCAGCAGCUCCCAUCAUAAGCCUCAGGAAAAGGCAUCUGUGGAACCAGAACAAUCCCAGUGUUUUCGAAGACCAAAGAAGAUCUACAACUGUUCGACCUGUGGAAAAGUGUUCCCUUGCAACCAAGCCCUAAAACGGCACCUUGUGAUUCACUCAGGAAAAAGACCUUUUAAAUGCUUCAUAUGUGGACGAGGAUUCACUCAGAGUGGAAACCUCAAAACACACAUGAAAACUCACAGAGAAUUAGUGAGGAAGUGUUAACUUGCUAACCAGCUAGUGCCAAUCAGAUAAGUACCUCUACAAGUUUUUUUUAUUAUUAUUAUUUUCUGUGUACCUGAUCUCAUGUUCUGUGUCAUCUUGUUGUUGUUUGUCUGCCCCCUUGUUGUUAAAAUACCCAACUGCUGUAACAACAGAAUUUGCCUCUGGGGAUUGUUAAAGUCUGUCUAAGUCUACACCGUUGUUCGUGCCUUGGCUGGCGUUUUGUUCUCAGGAUUACAAAAAAGUCAGCUUAGCUCCAGCAGCAAAUAAGCUAUGACAGCUUCUUCAAAAAAAUGACCACGGUUUUACUUUCCCCUUGCAAAUUCAUGAUUGCAGCAGUUUGAUUAGUAUGACUUGAUUUUGAGGUUUGUUUGUUUUUUUAAAGUUUGUGCUCAUGUAACAAUAGAGAAUCGUCUGACAAUGAAUCUCUUUUUUUCUACCAGGAGAGCUAACAAACUGGACAUUAGUUAAGGAGAAAAGUCCGAUUAAAGAAUCUCCUUUAACAGUAUAUUUGUGUGGAGAGUGUGGAAUGGACUUCCCUGAGAAGCAUCUGCUAGAGGAACACCGGGGGAGUCACAAGAAACCUUACGCUUGUCCUGACUGUGACAAAACAUUCAAAAAUGAAUCGUAUCUUAAAAUCCAUCAACACGUCCACUCAGGGGAAACCCCUUACAUCUGUUCAGAGUGUGGAAAGAGUUGCGUCACAGCAGUUUUGCUCAAAAAACACGAGUUAACCCACAGCGGAGAAAAGAACUUCCACUGUGAUCAAUGUGGGAGGGCAUUUUUACAAUCCGUCAACCUGAAGGAACACCUCAAGACCCACACAGGAGAGCGUCCUCACCUGUGCUCAAUCUGUGGUAAAAGUUACUCCAGAGCUUAUGCCCUCAAAGUUCACCUGCGAGUUCACACUGGAGAGAAACCCUAUUCAUGUGAGAAAUGUGGGAAAUGUUUUUUUUACUCUCAGAAUUAUCAGAAGCACCUGAAGACUCAUGAUAAAAAGCCCAAGCUGUCAACAAAGCCUCUGGGGAGACCAAAACAGCAGCUGUUAGUGGUAAACAAUCAGUGACAUCAUCUAGGCCAUUAUUAUAAUGUACUCAUCAAUUUCUAUGUGAAAUAUCUUGCUAAAUACUGAUGUGAUUGGACAAUGCAGCAUUAAUCACAUAUAGUAAGUUGUGUACAGUCAGCUCCACUGUUAUGUAUAUUAGACCAGAGUAUUUAAGCAAAUAAAUCAUAUUAAUUGUU